CAAUAGCGUAUAUUAAAGUUGUUGCAGUUAAAAAGCUCGUAGUUGGAUUUCUGUUCUUGGGAUCUGGUCCGCCUCACGGUGAGCACUGGAUAACUGGGGACAUCCUCUCGAAGGCGGCAGGUGCACUUGAUUGUGUGUUUGUUGAAUUCGGGACCUUUACUUUGAAAAAAUUAGAGUGUUCAAAGCAGGCGUCGGCUUGAAUACAUUAGCAUGGAAUAAUGGAAUAGGACUUUGGUUCUAUUUUGUUGGUUUCUAGGACCGAAGUAAUGAUUAAUAGGGACAGUUGGGGGCAUUAGUAUUUAAUUGUCAGAGGUGAAAUUCUUGGAUUUAUGAAAGACUAACUACUGCGAAAGCAUUUGCCAAGGAUGUUUUCAUUAA
rnacentral:rRNA from 1 species